rnacentral:tRNA from 1 species
GCCCCGGUAGCUCAGUCUCGGUCAGAGCGCGCGCUUGGUAAGCGCGAGGUCGCGGGUUCAACUCCCGCCCGGGGCUCCA